AUCACGAAGAGUUUGAUCCUGGCUCAGAACGAACGCUGGCGGCGCGUAUUAAGCAUGCAAGUCGAACGGGAACCGCCCCGCAAGGGGCGGGGAGAGUGGCGAACGGGUGAGUAACACGUAGGUGAUCUAUCCCCGGGUGGGGUAUAGCCCAUGGAAACAUGGGGUAAUACCGCAUGAGGUCCUGGA
rnacentral:ncRNA from 1 species